GGGUGUGAUAAUGCCAGCAUUAAUGCAUCGGAUCCCAUCAGAACUCCAUAUUUAAGCGCACUUGGGCUAGAGUAGUACUGGGAUGGGUGACCUCCCAGGAAGUCCUAGUGUUGCACCCU
rfam:Picea glauca, whole genome shotgun sequence.